GAUGAAGAACGUAGCGAAAUGCGAUACUUGGUGUGAAUUGCAGAAUCCCGUGAACCAUCGAGUCUUUGAACGCAAGUUGCGCCCGAAGUCUUUUAGACCGAGGGCACGCCUGCCUGGGCGUCACACACAGCGUCGCCCCCCACCAACCCGUUGGCUGGGGGACGGAAACUGGCCCCCCGAGCCCCCACGGGCACGGCCGGCACAAAUGUUGGUCCUCGGCGGCGAGCGUCGCGGUCAGCGGUGGUUGUCCAACCCUCGGUGCCAUGCUGCGCGCGCUAGCCGCUCACUGUUACUCGACGACCCCAAGGCGUCGUAGCCACGACGCUCACAACGCGACCCCAGGUCAGGCGGGGCUACCCGCUGAGUUUAAGCAUAUCAAUAAGCGGAGGA
rnacentral:misc_RNA from 1 species